CGAAAGCCAACGUGUCUAACCCAAGAAGAUCACUAACCGCUAAAACAGAACAAACAUUCACCUCAGCAGGGAUUCUUGGGGAAUCGCAAUACAAUGUAGAAAGCACAAACAAACAGGAUUCCUUAGUAACAUAGGGAUCCUCUGUCUCUACUUCUAUGGUAUAAUGUACAUCACCUUUGGGAUUAUUUUCAAUAAGCUUUUGUAGAAGAACAGGUGAUCUGCCA